UAGUCCACGCUGUAAACGAUGUCUACUAGCCGUUGGAAGGAUUUACCUUUUAGUGGCGAAGCUAACGCGAUAAGUAGACCGCCUGGGGAGUACGGCCGCAAGGCUAAAACUCAAAGGAAUUGACGGGGCCCGCACAAGCGGUGGAGCAUGUGGUUUAAUUCGAUGCAACGCGAAGAACCUUACCAGCCCUUGACAUCCAGUGAACUUUCUAGAGAUAGAUUGGUGCCUUCGGGAACACUGUGACAGGUGCUGCAUGGCUGUCGUCAGCUCGUGUCGUGAGAUGUUGGGUUAAGUCCCGUAACGAGCGCAACCCUUGUCCUUAGUUGCCAGCACAUUAUGGUGGGAACUCUAAGGAGACUGCCGGUGACAAACCGGGAGGAAGGUGGGGAUGACGUCAAGUCAUCA
rnacentral:rRNA from 1 species